CCUGGAAGUAUCGCAGUGCUUCCCGUACGGACCAUGGCGACCGCGGGAAAUUCGAUUGCUUUGAUCCUGGCAUCAGAAUCAACGAUGGCGGUCGCGCUUAACACAUGCAAGUCGAACGAGAAAGCCGAGUCCAACCUGUGAGUAAAAUGGCGUACGGGUGAGUAGCACGAUGGAUGAUGUUCCUGUGGGUGGGGAAUACAUCUGGGGAAGCGAGGAGACAAUGCCGCAUAAGCUCGAGAGAGGAAACCCGCGAAGGGCCGAGAGAGGAGUCCGCGGCCGAUUAGCUAGUGGAUAGGGUAAAGGCCUACCAAGGCGAAGAUCGGUAGCCGGCCUGAGAGGGCACACGGCCACACUGGCACUGAAACACGGGCCAGACUCCUACAGGGAGGCAGCAGUGGGAAAUCUUGCACAAUGGGGGAAACCGUGAUGCAGCGACGCCGCGUGAGCGAUGAAGCCCUUCGGGGUGUAAAGCUCUUUCGACGGGAACGAUAAUGACGGUACCCGGAGAAGAAGCUGCGGCUAACUACGUGCCAGCAGCCGCGGUAAUACGUAGGCAGCAAGCGUUGUUCGGAGUUACUGGGCGUAAAGAGUGCGUAGGCGGUGCCCUAAGUCUGUUGUGAAAUCUCCCGGCUUAACUGGGAGGGUGCGGUGGAAACUGGGGUGCUUGAGUGCGGGAGAGGUUAGCGGAAUUCCUGGUGUAGCGGUGAAAUGCGUAGAUAUCAGGAGGAACACCGGUGGUGUAGACGGCUGACUGGACCGCGACUGACGCUGAGGCACGAAAGCGUGGGUAGCAAACAGGAUUAGAUACCCUGGUAGUCUACGCCCUAAACGAUGCACACUUGGUGUGAGCCAUUCAUUUGGUUCGUGCCGGAGCUAACGCGUAAGUGUGCCGC
rnacentral:rRNA from 1 species